CAUACAGAGACUUUUCUUUAACCCUCCUGGUGUCCUCGGGUCUAAUCUGACCCAUUUUCAAAAAGUUUCUAUAUCAGAAAUUUGGGUUUCUUUCAACCAAAUUUUC